GACGAACGCUGGCGGCGUGCCUAAUACAUGCAAGUCGAACGAGUGGCGGACGGGUGAGUAAUGCCUAGGAAUCUGCCUGGUAGUGGGGGAUAACGUCCGGAAACGGGUGCUAAUACCGCAUACUAUCAGAUGAGCCUAGGUCGGAUUAGCUAGUUGGUGGGGUAAAGGCCCACCAAGGCGACGAUCCCUAGCUGGUCUGAGAGGAUGACCAGCCACACUGGAACUGAGACACGGUCCAGACUCCUACGGGAGGCAGCAGUGGGGAAUAUUGCACAAUGGGCGCAAGCCUGAUGCAGCCAUGCCGCGUGUAUGAAGAAGGCCUUCGGGUUGUAAAGUACUUUCAGCGGGGAGGCGUUACCCGCAGAAGAAGCACCGGCUAACUCCGUGCCAGCCGCCGCGGUAAUAC
rnacentral:rRNA from 1 species